GUGGGAGGGGGCUUGCUCCCGAUAGCAGUGGGUCAGCCAGCUUAUUGGUAACUGGCCCGCCGCCAUCGGGAGCAAGCCCCCUCCCAC
rnacentral:misc_RNA from 1 species